CAGUCGCCGCGGUAAUACGAAGGGUGCAAGCGUUAAUCGGAAUUACUGGGCGUAAAGCGUGCGCAGGCGGUUUGUUAAGACAGAUGUGAAAUCCCCGGGCUCAACCUGGGAACUGCAUUUGUGACUGGCAAGCUAGAGUGUGGCAGAGGGGGGUGGAAUUCCGCGUGUAGCAGUGAAAUGCGUAGAUAUGCGGAGGAACACCGAUGGCGAAGGCAGCCCCCUGGGCCAACACUGACGCUCAUGCACGAAAGCGUGGGGAGCAAACAGGAUUAGAUACCCCUGUAGUCCCUGUCUCUUAUAC
rnacentral:rRNA from 1 species